AACCUGGUGACUUACAGGAAAAGUUUGACCUCUGUCAUUGCCAACAAAGGCCGGUCAUUUGCAUGCAGUGUGAGCUCCAAUCCAGUUUUCUCCAAGCCCUGUCUAAUCAGCUGCUCAGCAUCAUCUGUCUGGAGGAGACUGGCUCCAUGCCCUCUGCCUGAUGCUACCACAGAGCAGAUACGGCUGGGCUGGCACCGCCACCUUUACUUUGGCACAAGUCUCUGUCUGAGGAGUUAAAGACUGCACCGCAGCCCUUUAGCUCUACAAUUAUAGAUCAAGAGUGGCAGUGAAUCUAUCUGCCCUAAAUGUAAUAAUAUCCAUAAAGUAUACUUGUAUGGCAUUGAUCAUUAUUACUUAUGUCGGCAGAUUGUUGUUACACAUUGAGGCAAAAGAUUUAGGUGGAAAUAACCUCUUAUCAUUGAUUAAAUAUAUCUUCCUUAAUUACCCUACUAUUGCUAAACCUGCUAGCUUUCUGUUCUUGCAUAGCCUAAAUAAACAUAUGCUGUUUACAGCCAACAAUG